CUUAUUUUAAAAUAAUAUUUCAUAUUUAUGGGCCUAGGUAGGCUACAUAUAUUUAACUAUAUAAAUAAUUUUAAUUGAAAAAUAAUAUGUCAUAUUUUUAUAUUAUAAAAUAAGUUGCAAAAUGAAAACUCAAAUCCUAGGCCUAUAGUCACCGGUCACAGAGGCUUAUGCAAAGAAUCACAACGCGGCGUCUUCCGCGUGAUCCAGGCCUCUGACAGUACCAACCGACCCGUACACGGUGUACUGCCAUAGCUAGUUUUAAAUGGAGUUGCGUCAACUCGUACCAACUGGGAGACAACAUUACUAACUCAUCACGGCGGUUCCAAUAUAGACAAACAAUACUGCGCCCCCAGUUGUUCAUUAUUAGAUAAUUUCGUAGUGAGGGCGCUAUUGCACAAACACGGAAGUGAUAAUUUUUAUUCUGCAUGACGUAGGGGUAAUUAAAUGACCAACCAGCAGCCUUAGACGUUAGAAAAAUAAUGAAUAUUCAUGAUAUUAUCGAAGAAGAGAUGCUGAACAGUUGAAAAACACGAAGCAGUCACGAUGGUCAUGCUUCCCUAGUUGUGUGUGAGUAUGUGAAUUUUUACGAUUUUUCAACCAAAAUCCUGGGAAAAUUCAACAUUUCCUGAUUUUAAUAUCAGUUUAGGCUAAUUGCAGCCAAGAUUCAACAGUUUGAAGCAUACUGCCUUACUUGAAGACGUUUCACAAAGUAGGGAGAAAUGGAAAUGAAUAGUCUGAGAAGUCUACAGAAUGAUAGUGAAGUAGACCGAUAACAAAGCCUGCAAAAGCAACAUGAAGACGGACAGCUUAGCAGCAGGUUUAUAUUUGUAGAUGCCAGCAGAAACAAGCCAAAACAAAUGGCCGCCUUGGAAACUAUAGGAUAUUAGCCCAAUACAGUAGUAAUACAGUUGAUGAUUUACUUUCAUAUUAAAUUGUG